rnacentral:rRNA from 1 species
GACGAACGCUGGCGGCGUGCCUAAUACAUGCAAGUCGAGCGCAGGAAACUGACGGAACUCUUCGGAGGGAAGGCAGUGGAAUGAGCGGCGGACGGGUGAGUAACACGUAAGGAACCUGCCUCAAGGAUUGGGAUAACUCCGAGAAAUCGGGGCUAAUACCGGAUAGUUCAACGGACCGCAUGGUCCGUUGAUGAAAGGCGCUCCGGCGUCACCUUGAGAUGGCCUUGCGGUGCAUUAGCUAGUUGGUGGGGUAACGGCUCACCAAGGCGACGAUGCAUAGCCGACCUGAGAGGGUGAUCGGCCACACUGGGACUGAGACACGGCCCAGACUCCUACGGGAGGCAGCAGUAGGGAAUCUUCCACAAUGGACGAAAGUCUGAUGGAGCAACGCCGCGUUAGUGAUGAAGGUUUUCGGAUCGUAAAACUCUGUUGUAAGGGAAGAACACGUACGAGAGGAAAUGCUCGUACCUUGACGGUACCUUACGAGAAAGCCACGGCUAACUACGUGCCAGCAGCCGCAGUAA